rnacentral:rRNA from 1 species
AACGAACGCUGGCGGCAGGCCUAACACAUGCAAGUCGAGCGAGAUCUUCGGGUCUAGCGGCGGACGGGUGAGUAACGCGUGGGAAUAUGCCUCUUGGUACGGAAUAACCUCGGGAAACUGGGGGUAAUACCGUAUGUGCCCUUUGGGGGAAAGAUUUAUCGCCAUGAGAUUAGCCCGCGUUGGAUUAGGUAGUUGGUGGGGUAAUGGCCUACCAAGCCGACGAUCCAUAGCUGGUUUGAGAGGAUGAUCAGCCACACUGGGACUGAGACACGGCCCAGACUCCUACGGGAGGCAGCAGUGGGGAAUCUUAGACAAUGGGGGCAAGCCUGAUCCAGCCAUGCCGCGUGAGUGAUGAAGGCCUUAGGGUUGUAAAGCUCUUUCAGCUGGGAAGAUAAUGACGGUACCAGCAGAAGAAGCCCCGGCUAACUCCGUG